rnacentral:rRNA from 1 species
UAAGCGUGCGUAGGCGGCUUUUUAAGUCGGAUGUGAAAUCCCCGAGCUUAACUUGGGAAUUGCAUUCGAUACUGGGAAGCUAGAGUAUGGGAGAGGAUGGUAGAAUUCCAGGUGUAGCGGUGAAAUGCGUAGAGAUCUGGAGGAAUACCGAUGGCGAAGGCAGCCAUCUGGCCUAAUACUGACGCUGAGGUACGAAAGCAUGGGGAGCAAACAGGAUUAGAUACCCUGGUAGUCCAUGCCGUAAACGAUGUCUACUAGCCGUUGGGGCCUUUGAGGCUUUAGUGGCGCAGCUAACGCGAUAAGUAGACCGCCUGGGGAGUACGGUCGCAAGACUAAAACUCAAAUGAAUUGACGGGGGCCCGCACAAGCGGUGGAGCAUGUGGUUUAAUUCGAUGCAACGCGAAGAACCUUACCUGGCCUUGACAUACUAGAAACUUUCCAGAGAUGGAUUGGUGCCUUCGGGAAUCUAGAUACAGGUGCUGCAUGGCUGUCGUCAGCUCGUGUCGUGAGAUGUUGGGUUAAGUCCCGCAACGAGCGCAACCCUUUUCCUUACUUGCCAGCAUUUCGGAUGGGAACUUUAAGGAUACUGCCAGUGACAAACUGGAGGAAGGCGGGGACGACGUCAAGUCAUCAUGGCCCUUACGGCCAGGGCUACACACGUGCUACAAUGGUCGGUACAAAGGGUUGCUACACAGCGAUGUGAUGCUAAUCUCAAAAAGCCGAUCGUAGUCCGGAUUGGAGUCUGCAACUCGACUCUAUGAAGUCGGAAUCGCUAGUAAUCGCGGAUCAGAAUGCCGCGGUGAAUACGUUCCCGGGCCUUGUACACACCGCCCGUCACACCAUGGG